rnacentral:rRNA from 1 species
UACGUAGGGUGCGAGCGUUAAUCGGAAUUACUGGGCGUAAAGCGUGCGCAGGUGGUUUGUUAAGUCAGAUGUGAAAGCCCCGAGCUUAACUUGGGAACUGCGUUUGAAACUGGCAAGCUAGAGUCUGUCAGAGGGGGGUAGAAUUCCACGUGUAGCGGUGAAAUGCGUAGAGAUGUGGAGGAAUACCAAUGGCGAAGGCAGCCCCCUGGGAUAAGACUGACGCUCAUGCACGAAAGCGUGGGGAGCAAACAGGAUUAGAUACCCUGGUAGUCCACGCCCUAAACGAUGUCAACUGGUUGUUGGGCAACUUGAUUGUUCAGUAACGAAGCUAACGCGAGAAGUUGACCGCCUGGGGAGUACGGUCGCAAGAUUAAAACUCAAAGGAAUUGACGGGGACCCGCACAAGCGGUGGGUGAUGUGGAUUAAUUCGAUGCAACGCGAAAAACCUUACCUACCCUUGACAUGUACGGAAGUCUGCUGAGAGGUGGAUGUGCCUGAAAGGGAACCGUAACACAGGUGCUGCAUGGCUGUCGUCAGCUCGUGUCGUGAGAUGUUGGGUUAAGUCCCGCAACGAGCGCAACCCUUGCUAUUAAUUGCCAUCAUUAAGUUGGGCACUUGAAUAGGACUGCUGGUGAUAAACCGGAGGAAGGUGGGGAUGACGUCAAGUCCUCAUGGCCCUUAUGGGUAGGGCUUCACACGUCAUACAAUGGCCGGUACAGAGGGAUGCCAACCCGCGAGGGGGAGCCAAUCUCAGAAAGCCGGUCGUAGUCCGGAUUGUUCUCUGCAACUCGAGAGCAUGAAGUCGGAAUCGCUAGUAAUCGGGGAUCAGCAUGUCGCGGUGAAUACGUUCCCGGGUCU